CUGCCCGCUGAAGAUCCAAAACCAGAGGUUCCCGAAAAAAACUUACCUGCUGAAGAUCCCAAACCAGAGGUUCACGAAAACACAAUGCCUGCUGAAGAUCCAAAACUAGAGGUUCACGAAAACACAAUGCCUGCUGAAGAUCCAAAACCAGAGGUUUUCGAAAUAACAAUACCUGCUGAAGAUCCAAAACCAGAGGU